AAGUCUAAAACGACUCUCGGCAACGGAUAUCUCGGCUCUCGCAUCGAUGAAGAACGUAGCGAAAUGCGAUACUUGGUGUGAAUUGCAGAAUCCCGUGAACCAUCGAGUCUUUGAACGCAAGUUGCGCCUUAAGCCUUCUGGCCGAGGGCACGUCUGCCUGGGUGUCACA
rnacentral:rRNA from 1 species